rnacentral:rRNA from 1 species
CCUACGGGGGGCAGCAGUGGGGAAUAUUGCGCAAUGGGCGAAAGCCUGACGCAGCGACGCCGCGUGGGUGAUGAAGGCCUUCGGGUUGUAAAGCCCUGUCGGGUGGAACGAACGAUCUGGCGGCGAAUAACCGCCGGGUGUGACGGUACCACCGAAGGAAGCCCCGGCUAACUACGUGCCAGCAGCCGCGGUAAGACGUAGGGGGCGAGCGUUGGUCGGACUCACUGAGCGGAAAGGGCGCGUAGGUUGCGACAUCCCUCGGCUUAACCGAGGUCACGCAUCCGAUACUGUCUGGCUCGAGUCUAGGAGAGGAAAGCGGAAUUCCCAGUGUAGCGGUGAAAUGCGUAGAUAUUGGGAGGAACACCGGUGGCGAAGGCGGCUUUCCGGACUAGUACUGACGCUGAGGCGCGAAAGCUAGGGGCGCGAACGGGAUUAGAUGCCCGAGUAGUC